AAUAAGCACCGUCCUAAGUUUCUGUGUCCAAAUUUGAUCGUCCGUCUUAUUUUAAUUUUUUUAUGAUUAGUACUUUUAUCGUUAUUAGAUUAUAAAACAUAAAUUGUACUUUAUGCGUGACAUAUAUUUUUUUAGCUUUUUUUUUAAAAAAUAAAGAAGACGGACGAUUAAAGUUAGACACGAAAACUCACAGGUACGUUUAUU
rfam:Oryza glaberrima chromosome 7 Oglab07_0120_4, whole genome shotgun sequence.